rnacentral:rRNA from 1 species
AUUGAACGCUGGCGGCAUGCCUUACACAUGCAAGUCGAACGGUAGCGGGCCUUCGGGUGCCGACGAGUGGCGAACGGGUGAGUAAUGUAUCGGAACGUACCAUUGAGUGGGGGAUAACGUAGCGAAAGUUACGCUAAUACCGCAUAUUCUCUCCGGAGGAAAGCAGGGGACCGCAAGGCCUUGCGCUCUUUGAGCGGCCGAUAUCAGAUUAGCUAGUUGGUGAGGUAAAGGCUCACCAAGGCGACGAUCUGUAGCGGGUCUGAGAGGAUGAUCCGCCACACUGGAACUGAGACACGGUCCAGACUCCUACGGGAGGCAGCAGUGGGGAAUUUUGGACAAUGGGGGCAACCCUGAUCCAGCCAUGCCGCGUGAGUGAAGAAGGCCUUCGGGUUGUAAAGCUCUUUCGGCCGGGAAGAAAUCGCAUGGGCUAAUACCCUGUGCGGAUGACGGUACCGGCAUAAGAAGCACCGGCUAACUACGUGCCAGCAGCCGCGGUAAUACGUAGGGUGCGAGCGUUAAUCGGAAUUACUGGGCGUAAAGCGUGCGCAGGCGGUUUUGUAAGACAGGCGUGGAAUCCCCGGGCUCAACCUGGGAACUGCGUUUGUGACUGCAAGGCUAGAGUACGGCAGAGGGGGGUGGAAUUCCACGU